rnacentral:tRNA from 1 species
AGGAAUUUAGGUUAACUUAGACCAAGGACCUUCAAAGUCCUAAGCAAGUACUCAACACUUAAUUCCUG